UAAGGAAAUUUAUCAAACGAUCGGAUGGAAACAGCGACCCAAAAAUCCACCAAAGAUUUGAUUUUUAAGCGCGGUGUCGUCUCUGACGUAUGACUCCUACAUCUCCCUCGUAAGCUAAUCCUCGAAUCCGAGCUCUUUGCUCUCUCCUAUGGCUGCAACACUUUCCUUCUCUCUCUCCUUGGACCCCCAACACCACCACCACCACCACCACCUCCACCGCCGCCGCCACAAAGCUCGCCACUUUCUCCAUUUCCCAUCAUCGCCGCCUCCCGGUCUCCGACACCCACCUCUCGGUCUCCACAAAUUCGACCGCUCCGCCUGCAGGACCGUGUCCUCGUCCUCCCAGCCCUCCCCUCCGACGACCGCGUCGACCGGGACAGCACCCUCCACCCCGUUCCUCGACGACCCGUACCGGGCCGGGCGGUUCUUGACCGAUGAAGAGUUCGGCAAGCUCCGGUCCCUCGAGGGCUUCGCGUACGACCGGGAGCUGGGAUCCGGGUCGCUGCGGGUCCGGGUCAUGAGGGCCGAGGAGAUGGACGAGACCGUGCGGGUGCUGGCCGAGUCGUUCGCGGAGUCGAUGCUGCUGCCCGGCGGGUACGUGUCGCUGGUGAGGUUCUUGGUGAAGCAGUACUUGAUCGAGCGGCGGAGCGCGAUGCCGCACGUCGCGACGCUCGUCGGGUUUUACAGGGGCGGGGAAGACGGCGAGGAAGAGUUGGCCGGAACCGUGGAGGUGUGCUUCAACAAGAGAGGCUCGAACGCUUCUCCGCCGACGCCGACGCCCCCGCGAAACUCUCCUUAUAUCUGCAACAUGACCGUCAAAGAGCAGCUCAGGAGGAGAGGUAUUGGCUGGCAUCUAUUGAAGGCUAGUGAGGAACUUAUUUCCCAGAUGUGUUCCUCAGGAGAGGUGUACUUGCACUGCAGAAUGAUUGAUCUUGCUCCAUUCAACAUGUAUACUAAAGCAGGUUACAGAAUCGUUAAGACAGACAACAUUCUGGUCCUGUUGACACUUCAAAGACGCAAGCACUUGAUGUGCAAGAAACUUCUAGUACCAUAUAGUCCUUCAGAAUCAGAUGAGUCAGGCUCUGACCAAGAACAGACCUCUUGAAUGCAUGUGGAGAGGAUAACUAGAUGCUCCUUCAAGAAUCUUAGGUACAUGGAGGCCCCAAAAUGUGUUCUGGUAGUAAAAGAGGUCAUGUUCCUUCAUAGACAUUAUCAUAUCAUUUCUCUUCUUGUGAGACAUCUCAUAUCUUAGAUCAGUUCGCGUUUGUUCACAGCCAUGCCCAAACCUUUCGAGUUAAUGAAGGAUAUUAGGUGAAGUUCCCUUACACAUUCUCCCAUGGAGGGUCUCUCGCUACUCUCAGGUCGGACACAGCGUGAUGCUAGGUUAGCAUACAUGGCUAUGGACUCCAGUGUGUACGAAUUUUGAGUGAGAUUGCCUGGGAAAUAUUGAGUUCCGAGUUGAAAUUAAUCUACCUGAAGUACUAGAUUCUGAUCAUUUGGACCCUGAUUUAAGUCCAAUGCUCUUCGUCCGGUCAAGAGUUCGAGGAGCACCACACCAAAUGCGUACACAUCACUUUGCAGAGUUCCCAUUUGGCAGAUAUUCAUACACCAAGAACCUCUGCUUUCUGUCGGCACAAUAGCCGAUUAACGACACCAGGUUGGGGUGAUCGAGGCGGCUCAAGAUAUCGACUUCAACCCGGAACUCCCGUUCUCCAUCAGCUUCUUUAGAUGGUGGCAGCUCCAUUUUCUUGAUGGCAACCACCUUCAGGUCCACAUCAAAUAGAAGAUAAUAAUAAUGUGUUUCAACAAGAAUUCAGGGGAUUAAAUACGUCCCGAAAGAGAUCUCUUUAACUAGAAAAGGGUAUGAGAGCAAGAGUCUGUGCAGGGAAGCAUUCAUUUGUUAUUUGUUUACAAAUAAUCGUAAUCCAUUGCUUUCUUUAACCUGAAUAGCUUAAUUCACAUAACACGAGAUGAGAAUUGUCAUC